rnacentral:rRNA from 1 species
AGAUGGCGACCGGCGCACGGUGGAGUAACACGUAUCCAACCUGCCGAUAACUCGGGGAUAGCCUUUCGAAAGAAAGAUUAAUACCCGAUGGCAUAAUUAGACCGCAUGGUCUUAUUAUUAAAGAAUUUCGGUUAUCGAUGGGGAUGCGUUCCAUUAGGCAGUUGGUGAGGUAACGGCUCACCAAACCUUCGAUGGAUAGGGGUUCUGAGAGGAAGGUCCCCCACAUUGGAACUGAGACACGGUCCAA